GGAGACUAUAUCGUUAGUUGCUUGAAAAAUUCUGAAAAAUCAAUCAUUUCUAGAUGGAGAUUGGGACAAAAUGAAGUGGGCCCCGUUUGUUCAGCUACAAAUGUAUUUAUUAGUUUUUGUUAUCGAGCUCGCUAGUAGUCAAGGCGAUGGAGGACAAAAGAUUAAACUUAAAAAGAAGCCUACGUCUAAAAAUUAUCAGGAAUACUACAUAACCAACUGGUCGCAAUAUGGUCUACCUGAACAAACCGACGGCGACACACUAAAAGCUGUACUAGAAGACGUAGCUAGCUAUCUACGUUAUGAAUACUGUCCAUUAGAAAAUACUGUAGAUUGUCUUGACCCAGCAAAGAUGAAAAGUGCAGUUAGCACCAUAGUUCGUAAUUUCCUCGAACACAUGGGAGUAAAACGACACUUAUCACAUCAAACAACAAACACAACAGAAAAUGCAGAUGUAAAAACAAAGAGUUCAUCCGCGUAUUUCAGAAAUUCACGUGAACCAAGUUAUUGCUGUUGUCAAAAAACCAAUGAAAAUAAAAAACACAAUUCUCACUCCUUCAUUUUAGACCACAAAGUGUAUAUAAAUGGGAUAUACAAAAAAAUACCAGCUGGCUACAAGCCUAAACCUAAAGUUGAUACUAAGAACAAGAAAGAUAAGUUUGAAUUGAAAAUUAACACUAAUAAUAAGAAGAAAGACAAUUUAUAUGAAUUCAAUGUUAAUUUGGAGUGGGUAUAAUGUUUUUCUAUUAAAAAUUAAAUACCAUUUAUAUUUAAA